AGAAGUUUAGGUUUAAUACUAGACCGUAGGCCUUCAAAGCCCGAGGCGGGAGUGAAAAUCUCCCAACUUCUG
rnacentral:tRNA from 1 species